UGGAAGUAAAAGUCGUAACAAGGUUUCCGUAGGUGAACCUGCGGAAGGAUCAUUAUCCAUCUCAAACCAGGUGCGGUCGCGGCCCCCGGGGGCUUGCUCCCGGGUGGUAGGGGUAACACCCUCACGCGCCGCCUGCCUGUACCCUCUUUUUACGAGCACCUUUCGUUCUCCUUCGGCGGGGCAACCUGCCGCUGGAACCAAAACAAAACCUUUUUUGCAUCUAGCAUUACCUGUUCUGAUACAAAUAAUCGUUACAACUUUCAACAAUGGAUCUCUUGGCUCUGGCAUCGAUGAAGAACGCAGCGAAAUGCGAUAAGUAGUGUGAAUUGCAGAAUUCAGUGAAUCAUCGAAUCUUUGAACGCACAUUGCGCCCCUUGGUAUUCCAUGGGGCAUGCCUGUUCGAGCGUCAUCUACACCCUCAAGCUCUGCUUGGUGUUGGGCGUCUGUCCCGCCUCUGCGCGCGGACUCGCCCCAAAUUCAUUGGCAGCGGUCUUUGCCUCCUCUCGCGCAGCACAAUUGCGUCUGCGGGGGGGCGUGGCCCGCGUCCACGAAGCAACAUUACCGUCUUUGACCUCGGAUCAGGUAGGGAUACCCGCUGAAUUAA
rnacentral:rRNA from 1 species